AUCCCAUGGUGAGGACACUUCCUAAGCAUCUUCUUGAAUCGUUCCCAUGCUUCAUACAGACAUUGCCUCUCUAAUUGAGCAAAAGUAGUGAUAUCAUUAAUUAAUUU
rnacentral:snoRNA from 1 species